GUUCCUGGGCAAGCCCGCGGUGCAGGGAAGUCGGUGUGAAUCCGACGCGGUCCCGCCACUGUGACCGAGGAGUGUGCUCUUCCAGCAGGACAGGCCACUGACGGGGAAACCCGUUGGGAAGGCCGGAGAGCGCGCGUUGAUCCGGGAGUCAGGAUACCGGCCGCGGGGUGUUCCGUGUU
rnacentral:ncRNA from 2 species